rnacentral:misc_RNA from 1 species
CAAAAACAAGAGGGCUUAAUACAACUCAUAUAUAAAACAACAAUUUGCAUCAAUCCUUGCAUGUGUUCUUAGAAAUAUGAAUAUAAAUUAAGCUGUAAAAUUUUACAAGAAAGAAAAACUUGAGAUGUUUGAGCUCACUACAUUCAACAGAUAUAUAUAAUUAAUCUAAAGAGCAGCACCAGCAGAUGCAGUUUAUGUAUAUCAUAUAGAUAUCUACAUCUCUUUCAUCAAAAGAUUGAUCUGUAUGCAUUUGCUUGGAAGCCUACUUGUUGUGUAGAGGGUCUGGGCAAGAGGGUACUGCUCUAUUCACUGUUGCAACAAAGCCAUUACCUUCGUUACUAGUAUUAACACCUUGUUCCUGAUUCUGGGCUACCUUCUCUUUCAGAGACCUGCUAGCUUCCACCGCAGCUCCAAUUUGAAAAGCUGAUAUACUCACCAAUAUCAGCAAGAAACACAAGACUUUGCCCUUUGACAGAAACAUAGUUUCUUCUUCUUCUUCUUGUGAAUUAAUUAAAGGCGCAGAGGAGCUUGUGAGAGAGAGAGAGAGA